rnacentral:lncRNA from 1 species
CUAAUUACCUGCAUAGCACAACGCCAUCUGGCAGCAGAUUUCAGCAGGAGCAGCCAUGGGUAAGUCUUCCGUUGACUUUGAAUCAGCCUGGUCUGCAGUGGCCAUCCCUCAUGCCGUUGCCAAGGGUGGGAAACACCUCAUGUUCUUCUCCCUUAGGAUACCCUAUUUUAGACCAAACUAGUUGUCCUUCUGGUCCUAUGUUGGCAGAUAGCCUGCUGAACAGAGGGCUAGUUGUGCUGUAUGUGGGUCUGGUGAUUCGGAUGGCAGUCACCUGUUUGUGGAGACCCCUCCUUCCUAUCACACAGGACAACACAGGCCUGGUGGGGCGGGAAACCAGAGCCAAAGGAGCUGAGUUAGAACAUAACAAAAAAAAAAAAAA